AACGAACGCUGGCGGCAGGCUUAACACAUGCAAGUCGAACGGGUGUAGCAAUACAUUAGUGGCAGACGGGUGAGUAACACGUGGGAACCUUCCUAGGGGUACGGAACAACUCAGGGAAACUUGAGCUAAUACCGUAUACGUCCGUGAGGAGAAAGAUUUAUCGCCCUUAGACGGGCCCGCGUCGGAUUAGCUAGUUGGUGGGGUAACGGCCUACCAGGGCGACGAUCCGUAGCUGAUCUUAGAGGAUGAUCAGCCACACUGGGACUGAGACACGGCCCAGACUCCUACGGGAGGCAGCAGUGGGGAAUCUUGGACAAUGGGCGCAAGCCUGAUCCAGCCAUGCCGCGUGAGCGAUGAAGGCCUUAGGGUUGUAAAGCUCUUUCAGGGGGGAAGAUAAUGACUGUACCCCCAGAAGAAGCCCGGCUAACUCCGUG
rnacentral:rRNA from 1 species